rnacentral:rRNA from 1 species
CGCCAGAGCCGACGUGGCGCCUCGGGUGACCGCUCGGGGUCGCCAUGCAACCCAGUCAUCGUGCUCCGGCGCUCCGCCGCCCCUCCCUGCGAUGAGGCCGCCAGCGCCACCAGCAGCUUCAAGCUCUUCUACGACGACGGCGCCGGAUCCGGCCUUCGCCCGCUGCCCAAGAGCAUGUCCGACUUCCUCAUGGGGCCCGGAUUUGAGCGGCUCCUCGAGCAGCUCGCCCAGGCCCAGAUCGAGGCCGGCGGCUUCGGCGCCAUCCGCCCCUACGACAACACGCCGGCCUGCAAGACCGCCAUCGAGUCCAUGCCCACCACCGUCGUCGCCGCCUGCCCUGGCCACGUCGGCGCCGACUCCCGCUGCGCCGUCUGCAAGGAGACCUUCGAGCUGGGCGAGUAGAACAGGGAGAUGCCCUGCAGCCACAUGUACCACCAGGACUGCAUCCUGCAAUGGCUCGCGCUGCGUAACUCAUGUCCCGUGUGCCGGCACGAGCUGCCCACAGAUGUGGCGCGGCCUGCUCCGGCGAGUGACCUCGGCGCCGCCGACGACCAAGGCAGCAACACCGGGGAGGCUGGCAGUGAGGAGGAGACGACGGUCGGGUUGACGAUUUGGCGGCUCCCAGAUGGAGGCUUUGCUGUUGGGAGGUUCGCUGGUGGCAGGAGGGCCGGCGAGAGGGCGUUCCCCUCCCAGUUGUCUACACUAGGCGAUCAACAUUUGGGAUUUCUAACUAUUGAUCUCCGUCGGGUUCAUGACUCUCCUUGGUUUCUGUACCCUUCCUUCAGUCAUACUUUUACUGUUUUGAGUUUUGAGCUUGUAUUAUUGCAGCUACCGAUUAGUUGCAAUCAGCGGUGGAGGAAUAGCAAAACUAAACGGUGA